UAGCUCAAUUAAAGCAUCGGUUCCCGUACGAUCACCGAAGUUAAGCAAUGUCGAGCUUCGUCAGUAAUUAGAUGGAUGACCGCAUGGAAUAUUCGGUGCAGUA